GUUACCUUUUAAAUUGGUCCUGUGAGACCAAAAAAGGAAAAUGAUGGACUCUGACCUUAGAAUCAACAGUAUCUGUAGCUCGCUUCUUAAAGAGGCGAGCUCUUUUUUUG
rfam:Omnitrophica bacterium RIFCSPLOWO2_01_FTLL_50_24 rifcsplowo2_01_scaffold_3918, whole genome shotgun sequence.